AUUAUGCUCCCUCCGUCCGGAAUUACUUGUCGCACAAAUGCAUAAAAAUGGGUGUCUCUAGAACUAAAAUAAAUCUAGAUACAUCCAUUCCUAUGACAAGUANUUCCGGACGGAGGGAGUAUAAC
rfam:Hordeum vulgare subsp. vulgare, WGS project CAJW01000000 data, contig: morex_contig_42310